AGUGUCAUGAGGGAGGCUUCUCCUUCCUGUGGGCAGUAAUCAGCUCGCUAGCAAAUCUCCCUGUGCUCCUGCAUAUGUGAGGACACCUCCUUUCUUUGUUGCUGACUUCAGGAACGCAGCAAUCAGGCGUGCAUCAAAAAUAAUUGUAUUCAAAUGAAGAUAGCAAGCCUCCUGCCGUGUGCUGUAUGUACUUAACCUCACAGAAGAAAACUCCGGACCAUGGGAGCUGCCUGAGUGUGCCACUGGAAGGAAGAAGGACUUCGAAUUCAGCCCACACAGUCAGCUGGAGGACAUGGUGUGAGCGGGGAACGAAUAGCAGAUGCAACCUCAAGUCCUCUGCUAGAGAGACGCCCUCAAGCCAGCUGAGCACUGCUGAGCUUUCAUCUGCAAGCACAACUGGGGCUCUGUUGGGUUUAGCUGCACUGCCACGAGAUGCUAUUGCUGAAACUGCUCUUUUCACCUUGCUGCCCAGCAGCAAGAACAAUGCAAGUUUAUAGGGCUGUGCUAGGCACGGGGCCAGGAGGUAUCCUCUCUGCCAUCCCUAGAGUCAUGCAACUGUAUGGCAUCUGCAUCGUAAAGGGGUGCUCUUAACCUGCCAGAGCCCGACAUGAAAAAAGGAGCAUCUACCUUGCCCUUAAAGCUGCUAAGCUUGUUAUAGGAACUAUGGGAGCUGCUGAGUUAGAGCUGCCUGGGUUUGUUUGGGACCAGUGCCUUCCGAGCUGUGGCAGCAGAAACCUCUGCAUUAGGCAUCCACAUACGGAUCUGGGCUUUGGGACAGGAUUUGCUUAAAGCCAGCUUGGUUAAGCCACAGUCGUGACCGGAAGGGCCAUGUGGCAGUUCGCACUACUAACCUCUCAGCAGAGCAAUCUGCAAGGUUCAUUGCUUCUCCAGGUAUUUCCACAGAGCUCUCAUUCUCGGGACUUGUUCUUAUUCUUUGGUCAUCGUGAGUGAGGAUAAAUUCCAGCUAAAUGAGUAGUCUUAAACGAUUUUAAGGAUCAGAUAAAUUAGCAAAAUUACAGAAGCAAGGCUUCUCUGCAAGCAGUGAUUCACAUGCACUCAAAUCCAUGUAUGAUUUCAUCGUCAGAAAAAACUAACCUACAGCAAUGUCAUAACAAUGAAAAUGCACCGCUGCAAAGCUGAAGUAAAGCAUACAGCAUGUGUAAA